rnacentral:rRNA from 1 species
AUACGGAGGGUGCAAGCGUUGUUCGGAAUCACUGGGCGUAAAGGGCGCGCAGGCGGGUUGGUAAGUCAGAUGUGAAAGCCCACGGCUCAACCGUGGAAGUGCAUUUGAAACUGCCAGACUUGAGUACCAGAGGGGAAAGUGGAAUUCCCGGUGUAGAGGUGAAAUUCGUAGAUAUCGGGAGGAAUACCGGUGGCGAAGGCGACUUUCUGGCUGGAUACUGACGCUGAGGCGCGAAAGCGUGGGGAUCAAACAGGAUUAGAUACCCCUGUAGUCC